GCCUACGGGGCGCAGCAGUGAGGAAUAUUGGUCAAUGGGCGGGAGCCUGAACCAGCCAAGUCGCGUGAGGGAAGACGGUCCUAUGGAUUGUAAACCUCUUUAGGCGGGGAGCAAUGCUGGGCACGCGUGCCCGGAGGGAGAGUACCCGCAGAAUAAGCAUCGGCUAACUCCGUGCCAGCAGCCGCGGUAAUACGGAGGAUGCGAGCGUUAUCCGGAUUUAUUGGGUUUAAAGGGUGCGUAGGCGGAUUUUUAAGUCAGCGGUAAAAUGUCCGGGCUCAACCCGGGCCGGCCGGUGAAACUGGGGG
rnacentral:rRNA from 1 species